CUUCGGGACCGAGCGGCGGACGGGUUAGUAACGCGUGGGAACGUACCCUUUUCUACGGAAUAGCCUCGGGAAACUGAGAGUAAUACCGUAUAAGCCCUUCGGGGGAAAGAUUUAUCGGGAAAGGAUCGGCCCGCGUUAGAUUAGAUAGUUGGUGGGGUAAUGGCCUACCAAGUCUACGAUCUAUAGCUGGUUUUAGAGGAUGAUCAGCAACACUGGGACUGAGACACGGCCCAGACUCCUACGGGAGGCAGCAGUGGGGAAUCUUGGACAAUGGGCGCAAGCCUGAUCCAGCCAUGCCGCGUGAGUGAUGAAGGCCUUAGGGUCGUAAAGCUCUUUCGCCUGUGAAGAUAAUGACGGUAGCAGGUAAAGAAACCCCGGCUAACUCCGUGCCAGCAGCCGCGGUAAUACGGAGGGGGUUAGCGUUGUUCGGAAUUACUGGGCGUAAAGCGCACGUAGGCGGACUAGUCAGUCAGAGGUGAAAUCCCAGGGCUCAACCCUGGAACUGCCCUUGAUACUGCUAGUCUAGAGUUCGAGAGAGGUGAGUGGAAUUCCAAGUGU
rnacentral:rRNA from 1 species